AACGAACGCUGGCGGCGUGGAUUAGGCAUGCAAGUCGAACGCGAAAGAGGGAGCAAUCCCUCGAGUAGAGUGGCGAACGGGUGAGUAACGCGUGAAGAACCUGCCUUCGACAGGGGGAUAACACUCCCAACGGGGUGCUAAUACCGCAUGAGACCACGGGGUCGCAUGGCCCUGAGGUCAAAGGUGGCCUCUAUUUAUAAGCUACCGGUCGAAGAUGGCUUCGCGUCCCAUUAGCUAGUUGGCGGUGUAAGAGACCACCAAGGCGACGAUGGGUAGCUGGUCUGAGAGGAUGGUCAGCCACACUGGGACUGAGAUACGGCCCAGACUCCUACGGGAGGCAGCAGUCGAGAGGCUUCGGCAAUGGGGGAAACCCUGACCGAGCGACGCCGCGUGGAGGAUGAAGGCCCUUGGGUUGUAAACUCCUUUUGUUGGGGAAGAAAUGCGAUCAGGUGAACAAUCUGGUCGUUUGACGGUACCCGACGAAUAAGCUCCGGCUAACUCCGUGCCAGC
rnacentral:rRNA from 1 species